AUUGAACGCUGGCGGCAUGCCUUACACAUGCAAGUCGAACGGCAGCACGGGAGCAAUCCUGGUGGCGAGUGGCGAACGGGUGAGUAAUAUAUCGGAACGUGCCCAGGAGUGGGGGAUAACGUAGCGAAAGUUACGCUAAUACCGCAUACGACCUAAGGGUGAAAGUGGGGGAUCGCAAGACCUCAUGCUCAUGGAGCGGCCGAUAUCUGAUUAGCUAGUUGGUGGGGUAAAGGCUCACCAAGGCAACGAUCAGUAGCUGGUCUGAGAGGACGACCAGCCACACUGGAACUGAGACACGGCCCAGACUCCUACGGGAGGCAGCAGUGGGGAAUUUGGACAAUGGGCGCAAGCCUGAUCCAGCAAUGCCGCGUGCAGGAUGAAGGCC
rnacentral:rRNA from 1 species